AGCAGCCGCCGCGGUAAUACGUAGGGGGCGAGCGUUGUCCGAAGUUACUGGGCGUAAAGCGCGCGUAGGCGGCUUCUUAAGUCUGAGGUGAAAGGUUCAACGCUUAACGUGAACAGUGCCUUGGGUACUGGGGAGCUUGAGUAUGGGAGAGGGCAGUGGAAUGGCUGGUGUAGCGGUGAAAUGCGUAGAUAUCAGUCGGAACACCCAUGGCGAAGGCAGCUGCCUGGCCUAAUACUGACGCUGAGGUGCGAAAGCGUGGGGAGCGAACGGGAUUAGAUACCCGCGUAGUCCCUGUCUCUUAUA
rnacentral:rRNA from 1 species